rnacentral:rRNA from 1 species
GAUGAACGCUGGCGGCGUGCCUAACACAUGCAAGUCGAACGGAGUCGUUUUGGAAAUCUCUUCGGAGAUGGAAUUCUCGACUUAGUGGCGGACGGGUGAGUAACGCGUGAGCAAUCUGCCUUUAAGAGGGGGAUAACAGUCGGAAACGGCUGCUAAUACCGCAUAAAGCAUUAAAUUCGCAUGUUUUUGAUGCCAAAGGAGCAAUCCGCUUUUAGAUGAGCUCGCGUCUGAUUAGCUAGUUGGCGGGGUAACGGCCCACCAAGGCGACGAUCAGUAGCCGGACUGAGAGGUUGAACGGCCACAUUGGGACUGAGACACGGCCCAGACUCCUACGGGAGGCAGCAGUGGGGUAUAUUGCGCAAUGGGGGAAACCCUGACGCAGCAACGCCGCGUGAUUGAAGAAGGCCUUCGGGUUGUAAAGAUCUUUAAUCAGGGACGAAACAAAUGACGGUACCUGAAGAAUAAGCUCCGGCUAACUACGUG